rnacentral:lncRNA from 2 species
AUUUCCUGCCCUUACCGACUCAAAUUGAGGUUGGACUCAUCCUCUUUGGUUGAUGAUAACUUGAUUCUAACCAGGCUCUGACUCGGCUGAUUCGGCUCUGACUCGGCUCCAGCCCGACUCUAAUCCUCGCUGUAAGCGUACUCAUGGGUACUGGAAAUCACAUAUGUUAACGUUGAUCAAUUUUAACAACUGUGAAGACAUGUCAAUCGAAAAUAUAUGUGCAUCAUAGAAUGCAUGGCGUAACUGUUUUUACUGCAGCGUAUCGAGAAAAAAUUUGAUUUCAAAUACAUAAUAAUAAAAAUUCUUCAGAUGCCUUCGAGGUUAGUGUUAUCUAAAAUGUUUACAGAAUUGCGGAAAUUCCGUAUUUGUGACUGGCGAUUUGACGUAUCUGGUCUCUGGAAAUAAGUCAUAGGCGGACCGAACUUGUUUGAUGGAUUCGAGGAAGACCUGAAUAUGCGCGUUCGCAAUAUCCAGAGAAAUGAUCGAAAUUUCUGGAAUGGCAUCAAUAAUAUCUGAGAGUAGUUUCAAGUCACUGGGACUUAUUCCAACGGAUACAGAAACAUUGUGAAGACAUUCAGGACUUGAAGCUGCAAAGGCCUUCCAUUCCUCCAAGGUACAACCCGAGGUGGUUAUCGGUGGUUGUUCGAGGUGGUUGGCGAUUGUUGGAGGUG